AAUGAACGCUGGCGGCGUGCUUUACAUAUGCAAGUCGAGCGAGGCGGCCCGCAAGGGCCAGUCGAGCGGCGAACGGGUGAGUAACACGUGGAUUAUCUACCCUAAGGUGGGGAACAACCCGGGGAAACUCGGGCUGAUACCGCAUGAUACCGAAAGGUCAAAGGGGGCUCGCAAGGGCUUCCGCCACAGGAGGAGUCUGCGUCCGAUUAGCUAGUUGGUAGGGUAAUGGCCUACCAAGGCGACGANCGGUAGCCGGCCUGAGAGGGUGAUCGGCCACACUGGAACUGGGACACGGCCCAGACUCCUACGGGAGGCAGCAGUGGGGAAUCUUGCGCAAUGGGCGAAAGCCUGACGCAGCGACGCCGCGUGAGGGAUGACGGCCUU
rnacentral:rRNA from 1 species